rnacentral:rRNA from 1 species
ACUCCUACGGGAGGCAGCAGUGGGGAAUUUUGGACAAUGGGCGAAAGCCUGAUCCAGCAAUGCCGCGUGAGUGAAGAAGGCCUUCGGGUUGUAAAGCUCUUUUGUCAGGGAAGAAACGGUGAGAGCUAAUAUCUCUUGCUAAUGACGGUACCUGAAGAAUAAGCACCGGCUAACUACGUGCCAGCAGCCGCGGUAAUACGUAGGGUGCAAGCGUUAAUCGGAAUUACUGGGCGUAAAGCGUGCGCAGGCGGUUUUGUAAGUCUGAUGUGAAAUCCCCGGGCUCAACCUGGGAAUUGCAUUGGAGACUGCAAGGCUAGAAUCUGGCAGAGGGGGGUAGAAUUCCACGUGUAGCAGUGAAAUGCGUAGAUAUGUGGAGGAACACCGAUGGCGAAGGCAGCCCCCUGGGUCAAGAUUGACGCUCAUGCACGAAAGCGUGGGGAGCAAACAGGAUUAGAAACCCUAGUAGUCC